UGACGUUACUGACAGAAGAAGCACCGGCUAACUCCGUGCCAGCAGCCGCGGUAAUACGGAGGGUGCGAGCGUUAAUCGGAAUUACUGGGCGUAAAGCGUACGCAGGCGGUUUGUUAAGCGAGAUGUGAAAGCCCCGGGCUCAACCUGGGAACUGCAUUUCAAACUGGCAAACUAGAGUGUGAUAGAGGGUGGUAGAAUUUCAGGUGUAGCGGUGAAAUGCGUAAAGAUCUGAAGGAAUACCGAUGGCGAAGGCAGCCACCUGGGUCAACACUGACGCUCAUGUACGAAAGCGUGGGGAGCAAACAGGAUUAGAUACCCUGGUAGUCCACGCCGUAAACGAUGUCUACUAGAAGCUCGGAACCUCGGUUCUGUUUUUCAAAGCUAACGCAUUAAGUAGACCGCCUGGGUAGUAAGGCCGCAAGGUUAAAACUCAAAUG
rnacentral:rRNA from 1 species